UAGUGUUGUGUGGGACUUUCCUGUUUACAUGUUUACAGCUUUAAAAAAUACAACACCACAAUUGCUGAUGCUUAGCAUCUUAAGUUUAAUGUCAUCAUAGAACCAUUAAAACUUAAACCAAAACUUUGUCUACCAGACAGAAAAAAAACAUUUUUCCGGUCAAAACAUGACAUUUCCUGUGUCAGAGAGGCAUGUGUGGGUAAAUGGUAUGUGAAACCAUGAAUGCAGCUAUGCACGAAUGUGUGAUUAGACCACAUACUGCUGUUGAAUGAAAACCUUGCAUUUCCUCAAUGUUACUGAGAAAAAAUAAACCCUUUCUUUUUCAGCUUCAAAUAUACUUCUAGAUAGUUUAUGCCUAAAUUUAAGUCAGGUUUAAGUCUAGUGGGGUUCGUCAAUUAACAGUAACAAAUAUGUUUUGGUGUGCUUCUGUGUUAGUGGUUUGUCCUGCUGUCACUUCCUGUGGUGAAGUCCACCCACCUCAAAGAGAAACAAGCAGACAGUGAAACGGUUUAGUAAAGUUUAAAAUAUUUCAAAAUGUCUGCAAGUAUUCUUGCUGUACCGGAUUCAAGCUUGAAUGUGAGAUAUUCAAGAAGAGUUCAUGAGAACAGAGGAGCAAGAAAGGAGAAUGAGGUGGAGAUCUCAGAGGCUGAAGAGCAUCACGCUGAUCCUGGGUCACAAAAAGCAAGUACAAGUGAAUGUAAAGCCUGAGGUCGGACGCGGGUCCACAGCAUAAUCUGCGAGGAACAAACAACAUGACGGGAUCCAAUCAAUGGCUCUCUGAGAAACAGAUCUAUUGAGAGUUUCCUGGAGAUCAUGGAGGCCAACAUGUGUGCCAUGUAACUGUGAUGUAAUGGAUUUGAAAGGACCUUUAAUGCACAGCAUUUCUCCCUCUCUUUAUCCAUAGUUCCUGCUGUCCUCCCUUAAAAACUACAUAAUAAAGGCAAUCACAAAAUGUUCAUGACUUAUUAACACCAUGUUAGAAGUCUCAUACUGACUUUCAUGCUAUUCUCACAGUAGUCAAGUUAAACACGUCCAGUUUGUCCUGAGGGUAAUGCUAGAAAAAGAUGCAUCCACUGUGGUGAAUGAAGGUGCUUUAACAUUACUUAGAAGUGCAAAAUGUAAACAUACAAUAAGGCCCAAAUGUUCAUGACAUUACUAAAUACCAUCAUGUUACAUUAUCAUGUUAAACUCAUACUAACUUUCAUGCUAUUCUCAGAGUAAUGAGUUUGUCCUGAGGGUACUUACAGAAAGGUCAUAAUCAAGUUCAUUUAGU